rnacentral:snRNA from 1 species
AAUCUCGUGUGGAACAAA